rnacentral:rRNA from 1 species
UGAAGGGCAGGGGGAUUGCCUCAGUAGCGGCGAGUGAAGCGGCAAGAGCUCAGAUUUGAAAUCGUGCUUUGCGGCACGAGUUGUAGAUUGCAGGUUGGAGUCUGUGUGGAAGGCGGUGUCCAAGUCCCUUGGAACAGGGCGCCCAGGAGGGUGAGAGCCCCGUGGGAUGCCGGCGGAAGCAGUGAGGCCCUUCUGACGAGUCGAGUUGUUUGGGAAU